UUGUGGUGUUGUUCAUCUGGUUGAUACUGAGAAACAAGCAGAGAAAAGCAGACUCAUCAGCCACAGCAAUGGCCGGAGUGGAGGUAGCAUACGCUGAAGUUAGACCCAAGAAAAAACACUUAGGCAAGGUGGACCAGGAAGUAAUAUACACCAAUGUGGGAAACAUUAGAAGAAAAUCACCCGAGAUGUCACUUCCUGAAAGUGAUGGGGAAGUCAUGUACAGUUCAGUUGUUACCCCCAGGGAUCAAUAAAGUAUUCUGAUUCUGAUUAGAAGAAAAUCACCCGAGGUAACCCUAACAUGUGUCUGUGAAGGUUCUCAGUCAUCCAGGUCAUCGUAGUCAAAGGAGCUUGCAAAGAAAAGCGUCUGGACUUCUUUAAGUUGCUUGAAGACGUUUCACCUCUCAUCCGAGAAGCUUCUUCAGUUCUAAGGUCAAAUGGUGGAGAGUCCAUCUAUGUCCACUGUGAGUGAUCAUCUGUGAACAGAGGCGGGGGUUUACGACACCAACUCUCUGCCAUCUAUAAUCCAGUUUUGAGAUCCCUUCCCAGACGCCUUAACGCCCACUCACAUCCUGGGCCAUCUGACCUCAGGAAUUCGCAUGAUAAGGUGGGGCCAGGUUUCACAAUGAACACACCCGAAACUCUGGCUGAUUGGAACCCACACCCAGUUUCACACCUUGGCUCAGGCGAUUAGAGGAUCAUCAGGGGGUUCUUUUGUCCCUCUGUGGGGGGUUACUCCCACUGGAACUCUCCACCAUUUGACCUUAGAACUGAAGAAGCUUCUCGGAUGAGAGGUGAAACGUCUUCAAGCAACUUAAAGAAGUCCAGACGCUUUUCUUUGCAAGCUCCUUUGACUAACCCUAACAUACUACAACUAUACAUUUGUAUUUGAGUAUAAGCAGACUUUAACUUUUUUUUCUUAAAGAAUGACACGACUGUAAAGUGUUCUGUUUCCACUCCUUUUGUUUGUUCAGUUGUUACCAUAAAGAAACAAGAGGGUAAAUAUUUAAAGACCUGAAACCAACACACAUGAUUUCUCACAUACUGUUUCUCUCUUUUCAAAUAAUUUAGCUCAUUAUCCU
ensembl:lncRNA